UUAUCGGUUGAUUACAGGGUCAGACGGUGUAAAAAUGUACCACGUCGUGUUCUUCGUGUUCUUCACCAGCUGCGGGUGGAAAGAUGUGGGUGAAACGAGGAGCAGCCUGAAUGCACCGCUAAAAGAUGCCAGAAGGUGUACCUGAAAUAUGCUGUACAUGUGCCCAGGAGCCACAGACACAAGCAGGGACAUCUUCUCAACCUCAGGACUUCUGCGUGGCAUCAUCAGGGAGCCAGAGACCCAGGGAGCCUGGAUGGCAAAGGUCACAUGGAGCAAACAGGAAACAUGGAACCCCAGGUACUACCGUCGGGAGCGACCUGACAACCACAUGGGAAAUCAUUCUGAAGGCGAAGCUGCCACAGAGAGGGAGAGACACAGCCCUGCUGACAAUAUCAACCUCAGGUACAAACAGCCUGAAGCCCUCCCUAUCUCUGGACUUUCAGGUACAUGGGCAGGUAAACCCCCUUUACUGUUUAAGCCAAUUUAGAUAUAUUCUACUUGCACCCUAACUAUUGGUGUGUCUUCCCCAGGUCACACAGUGCCACAGCUUAGCAUCUUCGGCUUCUCAGUGAAUGAGAUAGUGUAUGAACAGCCGCAAUGCACAGCGUCUAACACGCAUCAGUGAUCCAUAAAAAUGAACUCUCUCCCUUCCUCCCUUUCCUAUUGCAGCCAAAGCAAUUUCCCCUACGCCAUCGAGUUAGAUUUCUGGAUUGCUCGUGAAGAAACAUGCUUGUUAGUCUGGAUAGUUUGGAGCUUCUUCAAAUAAAUGCCUGCCUUGGGAAAUAUGAUUGAUAGAA
rnacentral:lncRNA from 13 species